rnacentral:misc_RNA from 1 species
GGAAGAGUACCCAAAAAAUUUGCUACACAUCAAAAAUGAGAAAACAAAUGGAAGGAAGAAAACAAAUACUGUUUGACUCUAAUAUUGCACUUGCAAGUCUUAAAAUAGCAUGAAACAGGUACUCCUCGUCAACAGUCAUUCUUAUUCUGAAUGCAUGACCAAAAUGAGCCCAUAUUUUGCUUUUAAAUAAUAAUUGAAAGGAAAAGGAUACUAACCUCUUUAGAUAGUUGUG